GGAUAACGUUUGGAAACGAGCGCUAAUACCGCAUGAUAUUAUUGAGCUGCAUGGCUUGAUAAUCAAAGGAGCAAUCCGCUGAAAGAUGGGCUCGCGUCCGAUUAGGUAGUUGGCGGGGCAACGGCCCACCAAGCCGACGAUCGGUAGCCGGACUGAGAGGUUGAACGGCCACAUUGGGACUGAGACACGGCCCAGACUCCUACGGGAGGCAGCAGUGAGGGAUAUUGGUCAAUGGGGGAAACCCUGAACCAGCAACGCCGCGUGAGGGAAGACGGUUUUCGGAUUGUAAACCUCUGUCCUCUGUGAAGAUAAUGACGGUAGCAGAGGAGGAAGCUCCGGCUAACUACGUGCCAGCAGCCGCGGUAAUACGUAGGGAGCAAGCGUUGUCCGGAUUUACUGGGUGUAAAGGGUGCGUAGGCGGCUUUGCAAGUCAGAAGUGAAAUCCAUGGGCUUAACCCAUGAACUGCUUUUGAAACUGCAGAGCUUGAGUGGAGUAGAGGUAGGCGGAAUUCCCGGUGUAGCGGUGAAAUGCGUAGAGAUCGGGAGGAACACCAGUGGCGAAGGCGGCCUGCUGGGCUCUAACUGACGCUGAGGCACGAAAGCGUGGGUAGCAAACAGGAUUAGAUACCCUGGUAGUCCACGCUGUAAACGAUGAUUACUAGGUGUGGGUGGACUGACCCCAUCCGUGCCGGAG
rnacentral:rRNA from 1 species